GUAACAGCCACGCAGACUAGAAAAAAAAGGUACAACGCACUUUCUAAGGGGAGAGAGUGAAAAGGGAGGGGAGAGAGAACAACUCCCUGGACACCGAGGAAGACUCGGGUUGAUAAAGCAAGAAAAGUUUUUUUUAUAAGAGAGAAAUAAGUUUCGAUUGGGACGAAGAAGACGUGCUUUUAUCGACUGCUGGGACAGAGGAGGGGAAGAGAACACUGCCGAAGAUGCUCAAGCUGCUGUGUUAAAGUUGUUGCAACUCAAGACUGCUCAUAGACAAACAGAAAGCAAAGAGACAACAGAGCCCUUGGCCUUGCUUGAGCAAUCCAAAGAAAACCAAGGCAGAAACAAACCACACCAGAGCAUAGACAGAGGACAAGAAAAAACAAAAG